rnacentral:lncRNA from 1 species
CUUAAGGGCAUGAAAAGAAGAGAGAAAGGUUCUCUCUUAUGCGUGGAAAAUUGAGAAGAAAGGGUUAUUCUCUUGAUCUCUAUUGUAGAGAUCAGAUGUAUGGAUCCAGAAAGAAAAAAAGAGGAUCUCCUUAUUCUUCAUCUUCAUCAUAUUUUUUUUAGAUCAGUCAAAAGAUGGUGUUUUUAUGAGCUAGCACUCUCGAGG